CGUACACUCCUGCGGGAGGCAGCAGUAGGGAAUCUUCCACAAUGGGUGCAAACCUGAUGGAGCAAUGCCGCGUGAGUGAAGAAGGUCUUCGGAUCGUAAAGCUCUGUUGUUAGAGAAGAACACGUGCUAGGUAACUACUAGCGCCUUGACGGUAUCUAACCAGAAAGUCACGGCUAACUACGUGCCAGCAGCCGCGGUAAUACGUAGGUGACAAGCGUUGUCCGGAUUUAUUGGGCGUAAAGGGAGCGCAGGCGGUCUGUUUAGUCUAAUGUGAAAGCCCACGGCUUAACCGUGGAACGGCAUUGGAAACUGACAGACUUGAAUGUAGAAGAGGAAAAUGGAAUUCCAAGUGUAGCGGUGGAAUGCGUAGAUAUUUGGAGGAACACCAGUGGCGAAGGCGAUUUUCUGGUCUAACAUUGACGCCGAGGCUCGAAAGCGUGGGGAGCGAACAGGAUUAGAUACCCGUGUAGUCCCA
rnacentral:rRNA from 1 species